rnacentral:rRNA from 1 species
AUUGAACGCUAGCGGGAUGCUUUACACAUGCAAGUCGAACGAGUGGCGGACGGGUGAGUAAUAUAUCGGAACGUGCCCAGUAGCGGGGGAUAACUACUCGAAAGAGUGGCUAAUACCACAUACUAUUGGCGCGGCCGAUAUCGGCUUAGCUAGUUGGUGGGGUAAAGUCUCACCAAAUCAACGAUCCGUAGCUGGUUUGAGAUGACGACCGUCCGCACUGGGACUUGGACACGCCCCAGACUCCUACGGGAGGGAGCAGUGGGGAAUUUUUGACAAUGGAGGAAGUCCUUAUCCAGCCAUCCCGCGUGUAUGAGAAGGCCUUCGGGUUGUAAAGUACUUUUGGCAGAGAAGCGGUAUCUGCAGAAUAAGCACCGGGUAACUACGUGCCAGCAGCCGCGGUAAUUC